rnacentral:rRNA from 1 species
GUUAUAUGGUCAAGCGACUAAGCGCACACGGUGGAUGCCUAGGCAGUUGGAGGCGAUGAAAGACGUAGGAGCCUGCGAUAAGCUCGGGGGAGCUGGCAAACAAGCUGUGAUCCCGAGAUCUCUGAAUGGGGGAACCCACCUACUUUUAGUAGGUAUCGUACAGUGAAUACAUAGCUGUACGAAGCGAACCCGGG